AGCGAACGCUGGCGGCAGGCUUAACACAUGCAAGUCGAGCGGGUGUAGCACUACAUCAGCGCCAGACGGGUGAGUAACGCGUGGGAACGUACCUUUUGGUUCGGAACAACACAGGGCAACUUGUGCUAAUACCGGAUAAGUCCUUACGGGGAAAGAUUUAUCGCCGAAAGAACGGCCCGCGUCUGAUUAGCUAGUUGGUAGGGUAACGGCCUACCAAGGCGACGAUCAGUAACUGGUCUGAGAGGAUGAUCAGCCACAUUGGGACUGAGACACGGCCCAAACUGCUACGGGAGGCAGCAGUGGGGAAUAUUGGACAAUGGGGGCAACCCUGAUCCAGCCAUGCUGCGUGAGUGAUGAAGGCCCUAGGGUUGUAAAGCUCUUUUGUGCGGGAAGAUAAUGACGGUACCGCAAGAAUAAGCCCCGGCUAACUUCGUGCCAGCCGCCGCCGUAACAC
rnacentral:rRNA from 1 species